AGGAUCCUGCAUCCCUCAUGCAGUCUUAGAGUGGUUCUCUCCAUCACUCGGAAGAAGAGCCCUGUUACAUCUGCAUCUUCCAACCUGAUUACAGCAAACCGGUCACCCAUUCCCACAUUCUACAGGUAGAAGGCCCAGGGUGACAUUAUAUAGUUCUCAGCAGAUUGUAGAGCCAAGGAUGGGAAGAAAGUGCUGGACAAUGGUGUCUGAGAUGCUAACUCCAGGGGCGGGAAGAAAGUGCUGGACAAUGCUAUCUGAGAUGCCAGCUCCAGUGCGCUCUGAAUCCCAGGAAGAUGAAAGGACACUGCUCAGGACCUGGCAACAUAGGGGCCUCCAAGCCCCUUUGUGGAGUGCUCACCUACAAGAGGACAGCAAUUCCACAGUCCCUAUUCAUGUGUGACAAACCUUUCCAUUCAGGCUUCUAGCUUGCCCAGACUGGAACAACACCUCCUCCCUCUCAGCUCAUCUGGUUCCUCUGAGGGCAGAGCUGGCUCAGACGGUUCUGAGAAGAGUCUGUUCUGGGAACUGCAGCCCUGUGUUUGUGCAAGCAAGUAUGCACUAUCUCCCUGAAUCAGGAACCCUGCCCUUCCCCCCUGGCACCUCAGGCUUCUGUGCAUAGGGCCUGGCCAGCUGCAGUCUGCUGGGGAGUGGGGGGGAGGACUGCUGGGUGAUGGAAUGCUAGCCAAGGAGGGAUGCAGCUGAGCUCCUGGCUCCCUGGCCUGCCUGCCUGCCAGCUAGGAAUUGUUAUCUAUACCCGAGAGCAAGCCAGGCUUCCUACACUAAAUUAGCCAGAGCAAAGCAGAUGUCUGCCUUCAAUGCAGCAGAGGAUUAGAUCAGCCGGUCUCCUCCUGCUGCCGACAAGGGCAAUGGUGGGAACCCAGAAUAGGUGGCAUUCCUGCGGCAGGACUGCCCCAGAGCUAGGCAGCCUGUCAGCACAUCUAUACCCACCCCUCACUGUCCACUCCAGGCAGGGUUUCCUCCCCCCACCACCAUGCAAGCUUCUUAUGCACAUUGUGUUUUUAGAGUUUUAGCUUUCAUUUGCUGUGGCCCCUGAAUAAGAAAUAGAAGCCCAAUUUUAGGUGCUGCCUCCUGCAUUAACCACUUUAGAGACUUUAAGUCCCCACUCCACUUUACUCUCAGACAGUCUCCCAGGGGAUACCCCAGACCCUCUCCCUUCUUGACUGUUCUUUGUUUUAUAGGCAUAGCUGCUGGAGCACAAAGAUUUGGUGUGGUUUAAAGUUCCAGGUCCCUUUUAGCACUGAAAUAGACACUUAGUUCCUGUUCCCCACACAAAAUGAAAAGGUGAACCCUUUGGUUACAAAUUAUCACCCCCAAACAAGGCAGAAAUAUGACUUGGUACCUAAGAAAAGGAUUUCAAGGAAGUAGCUAAGCCCCUUUGGAGAUUCCAUCUCUUCUGCCCCAGGGACAACCAUGUGCCAUCCAAGAGAGACCAAUAUCUUCAUCAGACACUGGACCCGUGGCAGCGUGCCCUUGAACGUGCCUCCAGAACAGAGAGAAACACGCUUCUAUCACAAGUGCGCAUCAUUCGGUGGCAGGGCUACGUUCUGAGAAAUGCAUAACUGGGCAGUUUCAUGACUGUGUGAAGCCUGGAGUGUACUUAUGAAAGCUAAGACAGCAGCAGCGUCACUGGGCAACAUCAGCUGAGAGAAUCGUUGGCCUCUAUUGAUCCAUCAUUGACAUCUUGCAGCCCAUGCCUAUAUUUAUAAAUUAUAUCCAGUCUGUGGGAGUUUGAGUGGGAAAAUGCUGUCCCUUCCACAUAGGAUCAUUUAUUUAAAUACUAAAUCCCCAGUGGAAUGACUGUGUGGGGAGGUCGCUGGACUUUUAAAAUGUGGAGCCUUUGUGGAAAAAAGCACUUCUAGGAGUUUCUAGCUUUGUCUAAUUAUCUAAUUUUCCUUGUUUCCUUUGUGUUGAUAAAAGAUGGGGUCAGUCUGCUUCCUGCUCUGACCACCCACUGCCAUGCCGUUACGGAUUCUCCCUCUAAAACCACAAGCCAAAUAAACUCUUCCAUCUAUAGGUUGCUUUGGU